rnacentral:rRNA from 1 species
GAUGAACGCUGGCGGCGUGCCUAAUACAUGCAAGUCGAGCGAACAGACGAGGAGCUUGCUCCUCUGACGUUAGCGGCGGACGGGUGAGUAACACGUGGAUAACCUACCUAUAAGACUGGGAUAACUUCGGGAAACCGGAGCUAAUACCGGAUAAUAUAUUGAACCGCAUGGUUCAAUAGUGAAAGACGGUUUUGCUGUCACUUAUAGAUGGAUCCGCGCCGCAUUAGCUAGUUGGUAAGGUAACGGCUUACCAAGGCAACGAUGCGUAGCCGACCUGAGAGGGGGAUCGGCCACACUAGAACUGAGACAGGGUCCAGACUCCUAAGGGAGGCAGCAGUAGGGAAUGUUCCGCAAUGGGCGGAAGCCUGACGGAGCAACGCCAAGUGAGUGAUGAAGGUCUUCGGAUCGUAAAACUGUGUUAUUAGGGAAGAACAAAUGUGUAAGGAACUAUGCACGUCUUGACGGUACCGAAUAAGAAAGCCACGGCUAACUACGUG